GGGGCUUUAGCUCAGCUGGUAGAGCGCUUGCAUGGCAUGCAAGAGGUCAGCGGUUCGACUCCGCUAAGCUCCACCA
rnacentral:tRNA from 37 species